GUUUCGAGGCUAAAACAGGAAGAGCCGCCAUGACAGUCUACGACCCUAAACAUUAACCGUAAAAAGAUAUAGCUGUUAUGCUUUAACUAGUUUAAUGUAUUUUCGAUAUAUAAUGUUAAGUUUUACAUUUGUUUGGUUAUAUAAUGUAUUAGUAAGUUGUUUGUUUAAAUUAAUAUUUAACGGUUUAAUGUAAUAAUUUUUUAAAAUGUUCGAAAACUUUAAAUUUCACGCGUAUUCGAAAGCUUUACGUUCGUUUGUGGAACGAUAAUUUCCUGAGGAUGGCCUAUAAAAAUAGCCUGAAAGCGGUUGAAUAUUAAACUGCAGUAAGCUCAGCAAGUGUUCUGGUGUUUAAUUUUAGUUGUUAGUUGUAAUUUAAUAGAAAUAUUUGCUUUAUUAUUAAAUUUCAACUUUAUUAUUAUUUUUUUGUUUCCAAAUUUCAUUUAAAUGCUGACAAAUAACAGAGUUGGAUUAAUGCUUUUUCUAAGUGCUGAGUAUUACUUCUGUGCCUCGGAAAAUUAUGGUAAUACGUCAGUAAUUGAACGCAGGAUGAUUGGAGGAAGGGAUGCAGAAAAAGGAGAAUUUAUAGGUGUAAACAUUUCAGCUCUUGCAACUGUACUUAAAAGAAAUGUUACUACCAUUUAGCAAUAUUCAAUAAAGAAACUUUGAAUGGUGCUUUUUCUUUAAUAACAACAAAGACGUUAAUAGGAGCAGCGCACGUUGUAGCAAAUUUUAAAAUUCUACACAAACCAGUACACGUGUUAAAAGGUCUUCCUUCUGUUUUUUACAAUACUCUGUUUGUAUGUAAAUGCAGAGAAGAAUGGAAAUAAAUCAGGUGGCCCUUUUCCUUAACCAAAAUUCAAGUAACAUGAAUAUUAUGUUUAUUGGAACUUUCACAUUAAUUACAACAAGAACUGUGUUAGAAGCUGCUCACGUAACAAAUUCAAUUAUUCAUAUAGUCAUGCUUCUGAACGUUUGGUUGGGAUGCAGAUAAGUUCUCGGGACAAACAAUAUAAAAGAAGGAAACCGUUAAACCACACUUCCUCUCCAACGGAAGUUGAACAUCCUCUCUCUCUUAUCUUUAAAAAUUUAGUCACCAAACUGAAAGUCAACCCCUCUGAAUUUCCCCACUCAUCCUGUUCACAUGGAAAAAUACUACACGCUAAUUGGAAGAAAUCAGCGAAAAUAGAAUUCUUUCUUAUUAUUCGGGGAGUGCGCCAAAACUUCUCAAAGUGGGACGUAUUCCAUCGAGUUUCCCAAAAGCCAACGCCCAAAAUCUACGAAAGAUCAAUCAUCAUUUCUACAAGCUGCAAGCCGUUUUAUCAAGUGCCAUCCUAAAUUCCCAAGAAUGAAGUAAGACACCAGAUCUUUUUGAUGUCUAAUAUUCACCCUUUUUCCUACUCGACGUACUUAUGUUCCUCGUACCCAAAAUUCCGUGGUUACGUGUUAAUCCGGGUUAAAAUACGAUUAACUGGUGUCGGGAAUCCUGACGGGAGACGCGAUUGUGAAAUCAUUGUCUCCACCUUUCUACUAGCAACUUAAGUCCCUCCACACUCGAUACUUUCUUGUAGAAAAGCUAGAACUGAUCUAACGAUUAGUUGCCGAUUAAGUGGGAUACUAUCUCUGUACCCCCGGCUAAAUCUCACAAAUAUAUUUUUCAAAUAAGAUUGAGCAUCCGAACUACACAGAAGAAUCCUCUCAAAAUGACACUGCACUGUUAAUAAUACAAAAUGAUACUUCUGAAUUCGGUAAUUUAAAUUUCUACCAAAUGUCCAACCAAUUUCUUUGCCAAUUAACAAUAAUAGCAUACACUUUUGAAAGAGCAUUAAUGGUUGGGUGGGGUAGAAUUGGACGAGCUAAGUACACAUUUGAAUUUUCAAUCAUGUUUCAAUGAUGAUAAGAUUUAUAUGUAAAAUAAACAGAAGCAGUAUACAUUAUUUAAGCUGCCAAUAUUUUAAUUUUGUAAAUUUUGUCAUAAAUUGCAUAGUUAGAUUUAUGGAAUUUCAGUGUUUAUGUGACAAAAUAUCAUUUUCUUCGAUUUCAUUCUCUUCUAUAUCAAUUUCAGCACUUUUCUCUUCUUUUAAGUAAUUUUGAUGAUUGCUUACUACGCAAAAAUCUGUUGUUUCAGUGUCAUGGGACAACAAAUGUUUCAAAUUAAACAGAACGUUUAGUUUUUUAAUUUUUUACCCUUUUCCUAAAAAGUUAAAAAUUUUAAAAAUACUUAAAUUUUAAUUACAUUUAAUAAUCGUAAACUGUGAGACAUUCGCAACAAAACUAAUGAAAAUGGGCGAUUCUAGCCCGAUUUUAAAGCGAGAUAUCUCAAUUUAUUAUUACACUGAGCGAAGUCUUAUACGCUGCGAGAAAUCGCGUUUGUCCACGCGAGAAAUAACAGCGACAAAAACUUUUCAAAAUUAAUUACGCUAAAACAAAUUGCGCUAAUUGUACAAUU
rnacentral:lncRNA from 1 species